UACGUAGGGGGCAAGCGUUGUCCGGAUUCACUGGGCGUAAAGCGCGCGCAGGCGGUUUCUCACGUCCGGGGUGAAAGCCCAGAGCUCAACUCUGGGAUUGCCUUGGAUACGGGGAGACUUGAGGAUCGGAGAGGCAAGGGGAAUUCCACGUGUAGCGGUGAAAUGCGUAGAGAUGUGGAGGAACACCUGUGGCGAAGGCGCCUUGCUGGCCGAUUUCUGACGCUGAGGCGCGAAAGCGUGGGGAGCAAACAGGAUUAGAUACCCUGGUAGUCCACGCCGUAAACGAUGAGUGCUAGGUGUUAGGGGGCCCACCCCUUAGUGCCGAAGCUAACGCAUUAAGCACUCCGCCUGGGGAGUACGGUCGCAAGACUGAA
rnacentral:rRNA from 1 species